UACGGGGGGGGCAAGCGUUGUUCGGAAUUACUGGGCGUAAAGGGCUCGUAGGCGGCCAACUAAGUCGGACGUGAAAUCCCUCGGCUUAACCGGGGAACUGCGUCCGAUACUGGAUGGCUUGAGUUCGGGAGAGGGAUGCGGAAUUCCAGGUGUAGCGGUGAAAUGCGUAGAUAUCUGGAGGAACACCGGUGGCGAAGGCGGCAUCCUGGACCGACACUGACGCUGAGGAGCGAAGGCCAGGGGAGCAAACGGG
rnacentral:rRNA from 1 species